ACGUAGGGGGCAAGCGUUGUCCGGAUUUACUGGGUAUAAAGGGCGCGCAGGCGGGUUUGUAAGUCAAUGGUGAAAUCCUACAGCUCAACUGUAGAACUGCCUUUGAUACUGCAAGCCUUGAGUUCGGAAGAGAGAGAUGGAAUUCCAGGUGUAGUGGUGAAAUACGUAGAUAUCUGGAAGAACACCAGUGGCGAAGGCGAUCUCUUGGUCCGUAACUGACGCUGAGGCGCGAAAGCGUGGGGAGCAAACAGG
rnacentral:rRNA from 1 species